rnacentral:tRNA from 1 species
GGCUCAGUGGUGAAGAGCACUGGCUGUUCUUCCAGAGGACCUGGGUUCAAUUCCCAG